AAGGCCAAGAUUUUGCGGAAAGUGGAUUAUCCUUUGGAGCUGGAUGUCUAUGAUUUCUGUUCAGAUGAUCUCCACAAAAAAUUGGAAGCACCUCGGCAGUCUUUAAGAGAUGAGGAAAGUAAGAAGCUUGGCCUGAAAGCAAAUGAGAAGAGUUCUGGUUCAAAAGAUAAUGAUGUCAAGAUGACAGAUGCAGAGGGAUCAUCCAAUGGAAGCGGAGAAUUUUCAAAGGCUACCUCGGAAGAAGGAGGUUCAUCUGACAGAGAAUCACAUUUAACUGGAAUAUAUGAUUUGGUUGCUGUGCU
rnacentral:misc_RNA from 1 species